rnacentral:rRNA from 1 species
AUUGAACGCUGGCGGCAGGCCUAACACAUGCAAGUCGAACGAGUGGCGGACGGGUUAGUAAGGUCUGGGAAACUGCCUGAUGGAGGGGGAUAACUACUGGAAACGGUAACUAAAACCGCAUUCCAUCGGCUGUGCCGCGGUGGGAUUAGCUAGUGGGUGGGGUAAAGGCUCACCAAGACUACGAUCCCUAGCUGGUCUGAGAGGAUGACCAGCCACACUGGAACUGAGAAACGGUCCAGACGCCUACGGGAGGCAGCAGUGGGGAAUAUUGGACAAUGGGCGAAAGCCUGAUACAGCCAUGCCGCGUGUAUGAAGAAGGCCUUCGGGUUGUAAAGUACUUUAAGUGGGGAGGCGUUACCCGCAGAAGAAGCACCGGCUAACUCCGUGCCAGCAGCCGCGGUAAUAC